rnacentral:misc_RNA from 1 species
UAGCAGUUGCACUGCACUUUUGCUGGAUACACAAUCAUUCCUUGAUAAAUGGAAUCAUACCCAGGUGCUCAGUCCUGGAAUUCUUCCUUGAAAGGACUUGGGUGUGGAAAACAUUCUGCUAUAUUUCGAAUUGUUAAGAUCAAAGCAUCUACUGGGUUCAUCUGUAACUAGGUGUUGGAAACAUGAUGCUUGGUUGUUAAACAUUACAAGAGAAGGGAGAGUGACAAUUCUAGAACCAGGAUUUAGAUUUGAGCAAUAGAACAGUUGUC